rnacentral:lncRNA from 1 species
CAAGUUUUUAAUAAAUGUGAAAAAAGCAACCAAGUGAGUAUCACACUACAGUGUAACCUGUGUUAUCCGACACAGUGGGGGAACAUAUUUUUUUUUUUGGGGGGGGGGUUAAGCAGAGUAUCAAAAUACUCCAGUUUUUUUCUGCAAGGAAAGACAUAUUUUAGGACCAUGAAAAUGUGUCUGUUAAAGCAGGAUGUUGGAAUACUCCAGUUUCAGAUUAGGCAGGUUACACUGCAAUACGAACUCCCAUUCUGAUAUCUGAUUGAUAAACAAUGAAUCUGUAUGCAGCUUUUCAGGAAAUAGCAAAAUUUUAUCUGACAUUUUUGUUCAUUAUUGAAAAGUGGCAAAAAUAAAUGCAUACAAUAAUUAUUAAACUUGCAGAAUACCUAUAUAGAAAAUGAUUUCCAUAGAUUUCCUUAGAUUUUUUUAACACUGACAUGCAUGAAAAAUUACAAUGUCUACAUAAAAGACUGCAAAAAAGUAUGACUAUGUGUAUACAUAAAUGGUAUUUAACUAGUAUAUGUGGAAAUUAAGUGCAGUUCUUAAAAAAGAACUGUAGCAAUGUCUGCUUGGAAGAAGAGUGUAAAAAGAUAGUAAUGUAAAAUGAAGUCUUAAAACUUAAAAAUUUAGUAGAUAAUUAGUAUUUACUCAACUGAUUGCAGUACAUAAAUUUAUUGCAAAUAUAUUAAAUACCACUCUGAAAUUUAAAUACUCACUACUAGUAUAUCUGUACAGGUAUGUCUAUCAAUGUUUGAGCCUCUGAAUAGAAUAUGUGUUUCCUCAUGGGGUUUCUGAUUAUAUGAUUACUUGGCCAUUUUUUAAAGUGAUUAUUUGAUAACCAGACCAAAUAUUUCAUGAUCAUUUGAUUAUUUGAUAAUCUUGUUUUACGAAAUUAUUUAUGAUUAUGUGAUUAUAUUUGCCAAAGCAAUUGUGAUUAUGUGAUACUUGUAAAAACCCCAUAAGAGGCCACAAAAAUACAGGUCAUUCUUUUUCAACAUCAUAGUUUCUACCUUAAGUAUUAAUAAUGUCUCAUGUGUUUAUGUAACUAUAUCAUGUAUAUGUGCCUUUUU